AGAAUCAACGCUGGCGGCGUGCCUAACACAUGCAAGUUGAGCGCUUGAGGGGGCAACCCCAAGAGAGCAGCGAACGGGUGAGUAACGCGUGGGUGAUCUUCCUUCGAGUGGGGAACAACAUCGGGAAACUGGUGCUAAUUCCGCAUAAUACCCCGGGGCUACGAGCCUCAGGAUCAAAGCCGGGGACCGUAAGGCCUGGCGCUUGAAGAUGAGCCCGCGUCCGAUUAGCUAGUUGGCGGGGUAAUGGCCCACCAAGGCUUCGAUCGGUAGCCGGCCUGAGAGGGCGGACGGCCACGACUGGAACUGAGACACGGUCCAGACUCCUACGGGAGGCAGCAGUGGGGAAUUUUCGCAAUGGGCGCAAGCCUGACGAAGCAACGCCGCGUGGAGGAUGAAGGUCUUCGGAUUGUAAACUCCUGUCGACCGGACGAAUGCACCCGACCUAAUACGUCGAAGUGUUGACGGUACCGGUGGAGGAAGCCGACGGCUAACUCUAGUGCCAGCAAGCCGCGGUAAUCUA
rnacentral:rRNA from 1 species